UUUUCUUUUACAAAAUUUAGAUUGUGAAACUCUUCUAACACCUGAUUUUGUACUUCACAGAUACUUGAGGAAGAAAGCUGCAAAUACACAGUAAGAUUAGAUCUUAUGUACAUUACAUAGGAUAGAGAGGUUCACAUCCAACACAGACUGCUAGUGACUGAAACUCAUUACCAUCUAAAGGCUGCUGGAUAGUCUUGUGAAAUGAAUUGCUAGACUCAGUCCACUAACAAGAAAGAAGGCUCCUGCAUAACAAAAACCACUGCUGCAAAAGGCUGUAUGUCCAUCAUCCCCAGGAGUGGUCCCUCAAGCAGAGAAGGUUAACUGGGCUGUCCAGUGUGUGUUGGUUUUAAGGUGUGAACAGGGGAACAACAAUGACUGAGAUAAGACCACCAAAGUUCAUUUCACUUAGUGUUGGACCACAAAUAAGAAAUCUGCCAGAAUCCUGGAGGCAAAGACACGGUAGGGACUCGAAACACUGACUCCCUUUGCUGUGAAGGAAACAACUGCCUGAUAGAAUGCAACAUUUUUUAUUAGGUGUGUGAAUCACUAUGACGCACAGUUAUUGAAAUACCAUCAAACAGCACAGUCUCAUCAAAUUACAUUAGCUGUUUGCCUUGGCAAACAGGAUACAGACUUACUAAGAUCAGUACUUUGGCCAAGCAUCAUAUGCAUUAAAAUCUGUGGCAAAUUAUACUUUUUUCUCAAUUCUCUUGCAAGAACAUGGGGCUUCUCUAUAGCAUGUUGCCUCAGGCUUAUGACUAAUUUGGAAAAAACAAACAAACAAAAACCCCCAAACUCUCCUUUGACUAUUCUCUGUGUGUAAUGGCUUGGUUGAGUUCUGAGCAUGGGAGGUGAGCACAUUUGCUAAGCUACAUGCACAGCUUUCAUUAAAGUGGGUCUGCAAAAGGUAUUUGAAUUAAACUUGGAGUGAAGGGGUGUACCAGGCAUUU